GCCUGUGAUGAAGUCACCCAAUGUUUGGAGGCUGCAAUCGGCUCCAAGUACCUGCUUGAAAGGUAGAACCUACUUGGAGCUCCUGCACUCGCGUUUGUGUUUUCAGUU
rnacentral:snoRNA from 1 species